UACGUAGGGGGCAAGCGUUGUCCGGAAUUAUUGGGCGUAAAGCGCGCGCAGGCGGUCAUUUAAGUUUGGUGUUUAAUUCCAGGGCUCAACCCUGGGUCGCACUGAAAACUGGGUGACUUGAGUACAGAAGAGGAGAGUGGAAUUCCACGUGUAGCGGUGAAAUGCAUAGAUAUGUGGAGGAACACCAGUGGCGAAGGCGACUCUCUGGGCUGUAACUGACGCUGAGGCGCGAAAGCGUGGGUAGCAAACAGG
rnacentral:rRNA from 1 species